rnacentral:sRNA from 1 species
GGUCCCUAUCCAUUACGCGCAACGUCUCUCGCGGUCCGCCUGUUGGGAUUCCCCUUCCAUUUUUUCUUAUCAGGCUUCCCCUGUAAAUCCCUUGCUUUGGCACGAGGGUCAAUAACCUUAUUUCCCGCAUUAGCUGGCCUGCUCUCAUAAUUAGCCAAUUACUUACCGCAUAUUCAUCCUCCGCCCUCCUCGUCAACUCCUUCUCAUCCACUUGGAACUUGAGCUUAUGCGUCAGCCAUCCAACGUCGUAAUCUACUUCUAUACCUCCUUCCUCUUCCGCCAUUGCGGCUCCUAUUCCCAUGCCCUCCUCCUUCGCUUCGCCUUCCCCAAUCCCUUCCGCCUGCUCUCCCUCUGCGAGCAUAUCCUCUUCUUCGUUUCUUCUACCUCUCUUGUUUCCGACCUUCAUUGCCGCUCGUCCUCGAUUAGCUGCGUAUUUGGCCAGUUCCUGUUCAAGGUAGGAAGGACCUUUGCGUCGCGCAUGGGGUGACGAACCAGAGUCAGAGUCCGAAACAGAGCCAUUACGCUUUUUGAGACGACGGAGGUCCUCUUCCAUACGCUUAAUCUCAGCUUGACGAGCAGCGCUGACAAUCGUUAGCCAUAUCCUUGCCACGAGCAGGAACUACCUACCUGCCGCCAGCUUUCUCCCUCUCAUGCUGCGCCCGAAUGCUUUUCAGGUCCACAGCCUGUUUAUCACAAGAUCAGCCGAUUUCCUGUAGAAAUUCGUUACGCACCUUUUUCUCCUCCCUUGCUUCGUCUUCUCUCGAUUUGCCCAAAUCCUUCAAAGAGGGAGGGAUAUCGACAAAAGUCUCAGUCCUCUUUGAUGUCUUGGAUUUUGAGUGUUCGGGUUCUGAGGGAUCAACCACUGGGUGUAAUCAUCAGUUAUCGCAUUCAUUAGCGUACAUAUGGUCAUGGGAUCCCCCACUUACAAUCCUGU